ACUUGAAGGCAAGCCUCUAUAUUGAGUAUAUCUAUACCUGAUACUGAUAAAUCUUAUUAUUACCAAACAUGGCUGCCUCUCUUUUCAAGUUCACUGUCUUCCUCUGCAUUGCCCUCGUCCUUUUCUCUCCCAACGAGAAUGUUGCAGAAGCGAAAGUUUGUCCGAAACUAAGCAAAACAUAUUAUGGGGUUUGUAGCCACGAUUUUCACUGUCAUGCUAAAUGCUUAAAAGAGGGAGCCUAUCAGGGAAGUUGCAAAUAUCCUUAUCAUGGUGCUCACAAGCGUGCUUGCUUUUGUUACUACAAGUGCUGAGGCAAAGCUAUAAUAACAUGCCUGCUUGCUUCCUUAUCAUGCUCAUCUCAAGCAGUUCCUGUCUGUGCUUUAUAUGUAAUGGAUAUAUAACAUAAAUAAAUAUAGUGCUUUCAGUUAAAGCACAACGACGAAGGUGCUUGGUUUUACGUUAGAAACCACAAAAAUCAUGAUUUUGGUGCUUUUUAACAUGAAGCCAAACACACUUAUAUGUUAUUUCUCAUGGUUAUGUUUGGCGGCUGUUAGGCUGCUUAUGUCUUUGUGUGGUGUGUUGUCGAUUACUUUUAUGUUCUUUCUCAUGAUUUGCUUU